CGCUAUGUUGCCCAGGUUUGUCUUGAAUUCCUGUCCUCAAGCAAUCCUGCUGCCUUGGCCUACCAAAGUGCUGGGAUUACAGGCAUGAGCCACUAUGACCUGCCAAUUUCCUGAUUUUGAUGGCUGUAUUUCAGUUUUGCAGGAGAAGAUCCUCGUUUGGAGGAAAUGCACACUGAAGUAUUUGUUGGUGAUGGGGCAUCAUGCAAGGAUCAUGACUCAGUAGCCAGUGGAAGGAGUCAGAACACUUUGGGAACAUGCUGCUAAAAACCCGUCAGCUCAUCGUCCUUGUUUUUGUCAGCCUGGUAUCCACCAUGAAGAAAUCAGAUUGAAAAUGGAGGAAAUGGUGCCAUUGUUUUCUGAGGAUACAGCAGGGUCCUCUGUGACAUGUGUCUCCCCGUGACCUGGUCAAAGCUCCCUGUGACAUGUGACCUGGUCUUUACUAGGAGCUCACAUUUGGCAGAACAGGGCUGAUCCAUAUACAUAGCUCGGUACUGAAACUUUCUUAUGCUAAGCUGACUAGCUCCACUUACUUAUGUUUAUUUUUUGCUUAAAACGUCUUUUAAAAUGUUUAUAUUUUAAUUGAAUUGUUUGUUAAAGAGAAAUAAGCCACACUGUGCCCUGGUCGAAUGGUUAAGUAAAGAUUAAGUAAACA